rnacentral:rRNA from 1 species
UACGUAGGGCGCAAGCGUUGUCCGGAAUUAUUGGGCGUAAAGAGCUCGUAGGCGGUCUGUUGCGUCUGCCCGUGAAAACCCGAGGCUUAACCUCGGGCCUGCGGUGGAUACGGGCAGACUAGAGGUAGGUAGGGAGAAUGGAAUCCCGGUGUAGCGGUGAAAUGCGCAGAUAUCGGGAGGAACACCGGUGGCGAAGGCGGUUCUCUGGGCCUUACCUGACGCUGAGGAGCGAAAGCG